UACAGAGGUCCCAAGCGUUACUGAGAAUCACUGGGUUUAAAGGGUGCGUAGGUGGUCCGUUAAGUCAGUUGUGAAAUCCCCGGGCUCAACCCGGGAACUGCUUCUGAUACUGGCGGACUUGAGGCCAGUAGAGGUCACUGGAACUGACGGUGGAGCGGUGAAAUGCGUAGAUAUCGUCAGGAACGCCGGUGGUGAAGACGGGUGACUGGGCUGGUUCUGACACUGAGGCACGAAAGCGUGGGGAGCGAACGGGG
rnacentral:rRNA from 1 species